CGGUGGUUUACACUUAGAGGAGAAUUUUAGAGCUUCUGAAUCACUCAGGCCCAACAGCUGCUGGCAAGCCGAGUCUCUGGAAAUUGAGAUCCUCCAGAUGUUGGGAGGACCACGUAAGAGGCAGACAUGGAGACUGAAGAGAAAGUGAGAAGCCCAGAGAUGGUGACAUCUCCAAGUAGACUGGGAUUCAGCCAACAUGCAUUGGGUUUCAUC
rnacentral:lncRNA from 1 species